rfam:Candidatus Brocadia sinica JPN1 DNA, contig: brosiA.
AACGAUAAAGGCAAACCCUGAGCAAUCAGGGGACGCAAAGUAAAGGGUCUUAUCAGUUGUUUAAACAGUUUAAGCCGUUUAAAUUGUUUAAACGGCUUACGAAGAGAUAGCCUUACUGCCGAAG